rnacentral:rRNA from 1 species
UACAGAGGUCUCAAGCGUUGUUCGGAUUCAUUGGGCGUAACGGGUGCGUAGGUGGCGGGGUAAGUCAGGUGUGAAAUUUCGGAGCUUAACUCCGAAACUGCAUUUGAUACUGCCUUGCUUGAGGACUGGAGAGGAGACUGGAAUUCACGGUGUAGCAGUGAAAUGCGUAGAUAUCGUGAGGAAGACCAGUGGCGAAGGCGGGUCUCUGGACAGUUCCCGACACUGAGGCACGAAGGCCAGGGGAGCAAACGGG